UUCUGGCUCAGGAUGAACGCUGGCGGCGUGCUUAACACAUGCAAGUCGAACGGAGUUUAGAUGAAAGCUUGCUUUGACUAAACUUAGUGGCGGACGGGUGAGUAACGCGUGGGUAACCUGCCUUAUACAGGGGGAUAACAGUCGGAAACGACUGCUAAUACCGCAUAAGCGCACGGAAUCGCAUGAUUCAGUGUGAAAAGAUUUAUCGGGUAUAAGAUGGACCCGCGUCUGAUUAGCUAGUUGGUGAGGUAACGGCCCACCAAGGCGACGAUCAGUAGCCGGCCUGAGAGGGUGAACGGCCACAUUGGGACUGAGACACGGCCCAAACUCCUACGGGAGGCAGCAGUGGGGAAUAUUGCACAAUGGGGGAAACCCUGAUGCAAGCGACGCCGCGUGAGUGAAGAAGUAUUUCGGUAUGUAAAGCUCUAUCAGCAGGGAAGAAAAUGACGGUACCUGACUAAGAAGCCCCGGCUAACUACGUGCCAGCAGCCGC
rnacentral:rRNA from 1 species